CCCGGGCCCCGGCGCAGGCCCGCGGCGUCCGCUCCCUGACCAUUUCCCGGGGACCUACUGUGCGCCCGGCCCGCCGUGGGUCUGUGCUUAGGGAGGUCGCGCAGACGGCGCUCAGCGCAUCUGACAGGAGGACUCGCAGUCCGGGCUCCUCCCGCUCCUCCAGCGAGCUCACCGGCUUGAACCUUCUUUCCAGAAUUUCUCGCCCCACGGGCACCUUUCGGUCCCCCAGACUCUCAGGACAUUUGCACAUGCCUGUCCCCCUCCCGCUGUGUGGGACUUCUUUGCCCGGCCUUGUACGCGGCUGGCACCUUCUCCUCGUACCUGUGUCCUCCUUAUCCGAGAGGCCUGGCCCGAGCACCUUUGCUAAAUCAACACCCUGUUCCUGGACACUCUCCAUGCCCUCAUUUCAUUUCCUUCACGUUGAUCAUCAUCCACGGAGCCAUUCAUCGAAGAAUUAUUGAUCACCUUACUCCCGCUUCUUCACGCCGGGACCCGCUGCAGCUGCGCGGCCCUGCCGGUCUUACCUGCGGUGUCCCAGCUCCCGUCCGGCGGCACGUGGCACACAAUCCAUGUCCUGGAACACCUGAGUGGCUCAGCGGUUGGGCACCUGCCUUAGG